UACGGAGGGUGCAAGCGUUGUUCGGAAUCACUGGGCGUAAAGGGCGCGUAGGCGGUCCCAUAAGUCUGAUGUGAAAGCCCGGGGCUCAACCCCGGAAGUGCAUUGGAUACUGUGGGACUUGAGUUCGGGAGAGGAAGGCAGAAUUCCCGGUGUAGGGUUGUAAUCCGUAGAUAUCGGGAGGAAAACCGGUGGCGAAGGCGGCCUUCUGGAACGAAACUGACGCUGAGGCGCGAAGGCGUGGGUAGCAAACAGG
rnacentral:rRNA from 1 species